rnacentral:rRNA from 1 species
CGGGUGGAUUAGUGGCGAACGGGUGAGUAACACGUGGGUAAUCUGCCCUGCACUCUGGGAUAAGCCUUGGAAACGAGGUCUAAUACCGGAUAUCACAACGCUUCGCAUGGAGUGUUGUUGAAAGUUCUGGCGGUGCAGGAUGAACCCGCGGCCUAUCAGCUUGUUGGUGGGGUAGUGGCCUACCAAGGCGACGACGGGUAGCCGGCCUGAGAGGGUGACCGGCCACACUGGGACUGAGACACGGCCCAGACUCCUACGGGAGGCAGCAGUGGGGAAUAUUGCACAAUGGGCGAAAGCCUGAUGCAGCGACGCCGCGUGAGGGAUGACGGCCUUCGGGUUGUAAACCUCUUUCGCCAGGGACGAAGCGCAAGUGACGGUACCUGGAUAAGAAGCACCGGCUAACUACGUGCCAGCAGCCGCGGUAAUACGUAGGGUGCAAGCGUUGUCCGGAUUUAUUGGGCGUAAAGAGCUCGUAGGCGGUUUGUCGCGUCGGCUGUGAAAUCUGGAGGCUUAACCUUCAGCGUGCAGUCGAUACGGGCAGACUUGAGUUCGGUAGGGGAGACUGGAAUUCCUGGUGUAGCGGUGAAAUGCGCAGAUAUCAGGAGGAACACCGGUGGCGAAGGCGGGUCUCUGGGCCGAUACUGACGCUGAGGAGCGAAAGCGUGGGGAGCGAACAGGAUUAGAUACCCUGGUAGUCCACGCUGUAAACGGUGGGUGCUAGGUGUGGGCGACAUUCCACGUUGUCCGUGCCGUAGCUAACGCAU